UUAAACGUCCGUACCACGUCGAAUACACCGGUUCUUGUCCGAUCACCGAAGUUAAGCAACGUCGGGCACGGUCAGUACUUGGAUGGGUGACCGCCUGGGAACAUCGCUUGUUUCAA
rnacentral:rRNA from 1 species